GGAAAGCAGGUCAGCUUAAAUGGCAGCAUAUGGCUCUUUCUGCUUGGUUGCGGAAAUAGAACGCAAGGCCACUUCCAUUUUUGUUUGGUUACAGUCAGGCCACUUUCGAUAUCAUGGUUCGACGCAUAGGCAUAUUGCCUGCUUCAUUGCCACUAGGGUUGAGCAAAUAAUCGAAAUUGAAGAAAUCCAUCCAACCUGAUCUGAUAAAUAUCGAUUUCGGUCGGCUGAAAGAUUUGAAUCGGA
rnacentral:lncRNA from 1 species